CCUCUAUGGAUUUGUACGUAAGUACAUCUGGUAGGGGAGCAUUCUAUUCAGCGUUGAAGGUGCAUGGUGAUGUGUGCUGGAGCGGAUAGAAAAGCAAAUGUAGGAAUGAGUAACGAUAAUGCAGGCGAGAAACCUGCACACCGAUAGACUAAGGUUUCCUGAGCGACGCUAAUCGGCUCAGGGUUAGUCGGGACCUAAGGCGAACCCGAAGGGGGUAGUCGAUGGAUAACGGGUUAAUAUUCCCGUACUUGUCAUAACUGCGAUGGGGUGGCGGAGUGAUGAAAGGACCGCGCGCUGACGGAAUAGCGCGUUAAAGGGUGUAACUAUAGAGACCGUAGGCAAAUCCGCGGACUUUGGUGAGCCUGAUAGUACUGAGCGGCUUCGGCCAAUUAGAUAGUGUCCCUAAGGGCUUCCAAGAAAAACCUCUAAGCUUCAGGUUAUGAGAACUCGUACCGCAAACCGACACAGGUAGUCAAGGAGAGAAUCCUAAGGUGCUCGAGUGAAUCACGGCUAAGGAACUAGGCAAAAUGGUCUCGUAACUUCGGGAGAAGAGACGCCAACAGCAAUGUUGGCCGCAGUGAAUAGGCCCAGGCAACUGUUUAUCAAAAACACAUGGCUUUGCAAAAUCGAAAGAUGACGUAUAAGGCCUGACACCUGCCCGGUGCUGGAAGGUUAAGAGGAGAUGUUAGUUUCGGCGAAGCAUUGAAUUGAAGCCCCAGUAAACGGCGGCCGUAACAAUAACGGUCCUAAGGUAGCGAAAUUCCUUGUCGGGUAAGUUCCGACCUGCACGAAUGGUGUAAUGAUCUGGGCACUGUCUCAGCCGUGAGCUCGGUGAAAUUGUAGUAUCGGUGAAGAUGCCGAUUACCCGCAACGGGACGGAAAGACCCCGUGAACCUUUACUAUAGCUUCACAUUGACAUUGGGUAAUUCAUGUGUAGGAUAGGUGGGAGACGUUGAGUGUGCAUCGCCAGGUGUAUAUUAGUCGUCCUUGAAAUACCACCCUUGGAUUAUCUGGUGUCUAACCCCUGAAUUAAGGGGAACAUUGUGUGGUGGGUAGUUUGACUGGGGUGGUCGCCUCCAAAAGAGUAACGGAGGCCCCUAAAGGUACCCUCAGCACGCUUGGUAACCGUGCGUAGAGUGUAAUGGCAUAAGGGUGCUUGACUGAGAGACCGACAAGUCGACCAGGUAGGAAACUAGAGCAUAGUGAUCCGGUGGUUCCGCAUGGAAGGGCCAUCGCUCAAAGGAUAAAAGGUACUCCGGAUAACAGGCUGAUC
rnacentral:rRNA from 1 species